rnacentral:misc_RNA from 1 species
GAUCAUUACUGUGAUUUACUACUACACUGCGUGAGCGGAACGAAAACAACAACACCUAAAAUGUGGAAUAUAGCAUAUAGUCGACAAGAGAAAUCUACGAAAAACAAACAAAACUUUCAACAACGGAUCUCUUGGUUCUCGCAUCGAUGAAGAGCGCAGCGAAAUGCGAUACCUAGUGUGAAUUGCAGCCAUCGUGAAUCAUCGAGUUCUUGAACGCACAUUGCGCCCCUCGGCAUUCCGGGGGGCAUGCCUGUUUGAGCGUCGUUUCCAUCUUGCGCGUGCGCAGAGUUGGGGGAGCGGAGCGGACGACGUGUAAAGAGCGUCGGAGCUGCGACUCGCCUGAAAGGGAGCGAAGCUGGCCGAGCGAACUAGACUUUUUUUCAGGGACGCUUGGCGGCCGAGAGCGAGUGUUGCGAGACAACAAAAAGCUCGACCUCAAAUCAGGUAGGAAUACCCGCUGAACUUAAGCAUAUCAAUAA